UGCCCAGCAACUCCCAUCACUACCGCCUCGUGGUACCGGCCGGAAACUAUGAGCAACCUUAGGGACGAUCGGGUAACCAACCCCGGUGGGAACUUUGGUCGUAGGCUGACAGGGAAGG
rnacentral:ribozyme from 1 species